GCGGAACGAUCCUAGCUUGCUAGGAGGCGUCGAGCGGCGGACGGGUGAGUAAUGCAUAGGAAUCUGCCCGGUAGUGGGGGAUAACCUGGGGAAACCCAGGCUAAUACCGCAUACGCCCUACGGGGGAAAGCAGGGGAUCUUCGGACCUUGCGCUAUCGGAUGAGCCUAUGUCGGAUUAGCUAGUUGGUGAGGUAACGGCUCACCAAGGCUGCGAUCCGUAGCUGGUCUGAGAGGAUGAUCAGCCACAUCGGGACUGAGACACGGCCCGAACUCCUACGGGAGGCAGCAGUGGGGAAUAUUGGACAAUGGGCGAAAGCCUGAUCCAGCCAUGCCGCGUGUGUGAAGAAGGCCUUCGGGUUGUAAAGCACUUUCAGUGAGGAAGAAAGCCUUGAGGUUAAUACCCUCGAGGGAGGACAUCACUCACAGAAGAAGCACCGGCUAACUCCGUGCCAGCAGCCGCGGUAAUACGGAGGGUGCGAGCGUUAAUCGGAAUUACUGGGCGUAAAGCGCGCGUAGGCGGCUUGAUAAGCCGGUUGUGAAAGCCCCGGGCUCAACCUGGGAACGGCAUCCGGAACUGUCAGGCUAGAGUGCAUGAGAGGAAGGUAGAAUUCCCGGUGUAGCGGUGAAAUGCGUACAGAUCGGGAGGAAUACCAGUGGCGAACGCGGCCUUCUGGACUGACACUGACGCUGAGGUGCGAAAGCGUGGGUAGCCAACAGGAUUAGAUACCCUGGUAGUCCACGCCGUAUACGAUGUCGACUAGCCGUUGGGCUCCUUGAGA
rnacentral:rRNA from 1 species